AUUUUUUGAACCAAUCCCACUGAACCCGCUCCAAUCCCACAAACCUGAACCCGAAUUGAACUCUUUUUAAAAUCUCAACUUGAACCAGGCAAGUUUAAGGUUUAAUCCCUGGUAGUGGAAUGUCAAAAGAUAUUCCAUCAAAUAUUACAAUAAAUCAAUGCAAAUGAAAAAUGAAAAGUUACAAUAUGUGAGAUCGAAAUUCGGUAAUCGAGAUGAUGGGGCCUUUCCCAAGAUUGAAAAAUCUGAAAAUAGUGCCCAUGAUAAAAGAUUGGCUAAGCCAGUGGAGAAGAAAUUCGAAGAAGGCAAAUUAACACCUCUAGAUUCAAAUGGGCAAAAAAGUAAAUUAACAUCUAUAGAUCCAAAUGGGAAAAAUUGUAAGGAUGAUGAAAGUGUUCGGGAUUCAAGGUCUAUGACAAAUAUCGGGAAUGAAUUAUUGCUGAAAGCGUCAACAUCCCCUGAUCGUUCAAACAUGCCAAAUUUUAUGAAAUCAAUUAUGGACUUUGGUAAUAGGCAAGUCGAAAAAAUUAUGGGGAAUUCAAAUAAGAAAAAUAAAACAUCAAAGUCAACCGCUAUUCGACAUUCAAUUGGGAAAUCAGGCCAAAAUAGUGAACAUUCAAUUGAGAAAGAUGCAAAACACAUUACCCCAAGUCAUUCAAAAAUUUGGUUAAAUGCUAAAUUUUUGUCUUUUCGAUC